rnacentral:lncRNA from 1 species
GUGAUUUAAUUCCGACCGUGAAAACAAUUGCUAGGGGCUGGCUGGAUUGCUGUUGGUUUUUCCCCUCCUGGUGGCUUUGCUUGGUUUGGGUUUAGUUUGGGAACAAACUUGUUUUAUAUCAACACUUCCUUCUACAUCGGGCGCCGUCGCCUCAACUGCGCGUGGGGGGCGAGGCGCCCACCCCGCACAAGAACAGAGGAGCGGGGGAGAAGAGACGGCCUCGCUGCUCACUGGGCCCCUUUGUGUGACUAAAUUUGGCAAGAAUAUGGAUCUGAGCCAGUCUUUCCACGUGUGCUCCCAGCUCCCAGCUGAGAAGGCCAAGGGUUCUCUUCCGGAUGCAGCCUUUUUGAAAUUUAUUCUUGGCCAAAAGAGGAAGAUAGUUCAAGGAUUCUAUCUUGCUUUUGGGGGGCAAUGGAGAAACCCUGAAAACACUUAAGGAAAACCUGAGGCCUUCUAUAAGAAAAUAAACUCCCUGAAAGGGGAGGCAGGGCCAAGGAAUUUACUUAUUUUUAUAAAUCUCUUUCCUGGGUGGAUAUGGUAAUGGAUGUGUUUCUUGAAUUGUGGUAAAUGUACCUCAUAAAAUGGAUGGACUGGGGCUAUAUUCUCAGGCUUCCUGGGCUCUGUUGGCAUUGGGCAAGCACGUAAUGCCUGGUUUGAGGCUAGAAGCCAAAGCCACAACCUUCUUGCAGUACCAACUGAGCCAUAGGGAGAUUAAUGCAGAACAAGGUCGUUAGUCUCAUUGUUUAUCCAGUUACUAGCCGCAUAGAUUUUGUGUAAAUUUCAGCUACAGUGGUUGCAGCCUGCCUUUGAUGUGUGUAAUCUGUACAUUUUAGUGCUCCAGGAAAGUACCUGAUUGACAAGAUCUACAUCCAAUGCCCAGAAAACACAUCCUACACAGGCACAGUGAAGCGUGGAGUUGAAGAAUUUUCCAGUGAGUUCCAUCAAAGUAAAUAAACCAACCUAGAGCAUCAGGA